AUUGAACGCUGGCGGCAGGCCUAACACAUGCAAGUCGAACGGAGUGGCGGACGGGUGAGUAAUGUCUGGGAAUCUGCCUGGUAGUGGGGGAUAACGUCCGGAAACGGGCGAUAAUACCGCAUACUAUCAGAUGAGCCUAGGUCGGAUUAGCUAGUUGGUGGGGCAAAGGCAUACCAAGACGACGAUCCGUAACUGGUCUGCGAGGAUGAUCAGUCACACUGGAACUGAGACACGGUCCAGACUCCUACGGGAGGCAGCAGUGGGGAAUAUUGGACAAUGGGCGAAAGCCUGAUCCAGCCAUGCCGCGUGUGUGAAGAAGGUCUUCGGAUUGUAAAGCACUUUAAGUUGGGAGGCGUUACCCGCAGAAGAAGCACCGGCUAACUCCGUGCCAGCAGCCGCGGUAAUAC
rnacentral:rRNA from 1 species